CGCACCACGGCCGUCCCGUCACUCGUGCCGAAACCCUCCUCUAGAGACAAACAGCCCCAUGUCCCCUCUCGGCUCUCGCUGGGGACGCCGAGGUGGAAGCCGCAUCCCAGCUGCGCCGUUGCCCGUCCCGUGUUUCCAGCGGUCACCCCGUGGCAGAGGGGGCGGCUUAGGGCAGCAGAGCAAAGACGCCCGCUGCUAAAUUGCCUUUUUGGCGCACGCGGCGAGCCGGCCUCCCCCCGGCACGGGGUGUUGCAGCGCCCCGUGAUUGGGUGCUAUUUUGCUCCGGCAGGAUACGGCAGCUGUUGCUGUAUAUUACCCCGGCGAGACCGAGGCAGACCGGAGGCGAGGCAGCCGCGUUGGAGCCCUAGGUACGACUUUGCCUUGCUUUUAACCCUUUUUGCUGACCGUGGGGCAGCUCGCAGCUAUAAGCUGCAAGGAACGCUGGCCACUUGUCGCGGCCCGGUGGCCGCGGACGUGGCCCCAGGGCUGGGUCACCACUGCCACCGCCAUGCAGGUGCUCGCGGGGUGGGCAGCGAAGGCAAGGGACUGUUUGGGGGAGUUUUGGACGUGGGUCAGCAGCAGAGGCACCCAUGGGAUCUCGGGACCGGUCAGGAGAAGUCCCAGCGCCAGCAACGUGGGAAGAGUCACUUCAUGCCUGCAGCUUGGCGCAUUUUGGAGAGUGGGCACGCAAGGGUGCAUCCGGGGCAGCGGUGCAUGGACAGGGCCAGCGGGUGGCACGACCUUCAUGCAGGAGGUUGCCUUGAUCCUUUUGAAGGCUCCAGCGGGAGCCGAGGGCUGAGGUCAGCUCUGCAGGCUGUGGGCAGCCAUCCUGGCCGGGAUGAGCCAUCCCUGGCGCUGGUGGCCCUCCUUGCCGCCUGGCCGGAGCGGUUGCCACGUGGUUGGUACCUCCAAUCCUCGUUCCAGAGGAGCCUCCGAGGGUGGGAAGGGGCUCGGCAUCCUCCUCUGGCCACAGCGCUGGGGCCUCACCGGGACCUGGAGCAGGGACACCCCGCGGUGGCCAUGCCGCCAUGGCUCUGGCGUGGCCGCAUGCUCCAGGGAAAAGGCGCUGUGCUGUAG
ensembl:lncRNA